rnacentral:rRNA from 1 species
UACAGAGGUCUCAACCGUUGUUCGGAUUCAUUGGGCGUAAAGGGUGCGUAGGCGGUCGCGCAAGUCGGAUGUGAAAUCUCGGAGCUUAACUCCGAAACUGCAUUCGAUACUGCCGUGCUUGAGGACUGGAGAGGAGACUGGAAUUUACGGUGUAGCGGUGAAAUGCGUAGAUAUCGUAAGGAAGACCAGUGGCGAAGGCGGGUCUCUGGACAGUUCCUGACGCUGAGGCACGAAGGUCAGGGGAGCAAACGGG